GAUGAACGCUGGCGGCGUGCCUAAUACAUGCAAGUCGAGCGAACAGACGAGGAGCUUGCUCCUCUGACGUUAGCGGCGGACGGGUGAGUAACACGUGGAUAACCUACCUAUAAGACUGGGAUAACUUCGGGAAACCGGAGCUAAUACCGGAUAAUAUAUUGAACCGCAUGGUUCAAUAGUGAAAGACGGUUUUGCUGUCACUUAUAGAUGGAUCCGCGCCGCAUUAGCUAGUUGGUAAGGUAACGGCUUACCAAGGCAACGAUGCGUAGCCGACCUGAGAGGAGGAUCAGCCACACUGGAACUGAGACACGGUCCAGACGCCUACGGGAGGCAGCAGUGGGGAAUAUUGGACAAUGGGCGCAAGCCUGAUAGAGCCAUACCGCGUGAGUGAAAAAGGCCUUCGGGUUGUAAAGCCCUUUUGUUGGGAAAGAAAAGCAGCGGGUUAAUACCCAGCUGUUCUGACGGUACCCAAAGAAUAAGCACCGGCUAACUUCGUG
rnacentral:rRNA from 1 species